rnacentral:rRNA from 1 species
AUUGAACGCUGGCGGCAGGCCUAACACAUGCAAGUCGAGCGGUUUAAGUGAGCUUGCUCCUGGAUUCAGCGGCGGACGGGUGAGUAAUUCCUAGGAAUCUGCCUGGUACUGGGGGAUAACGUCCGGAAACGGGCGCUAAUACCGCAUACGUCCUGAGGGAGAAAGUGGGGGAUCUUCGGACCUCACGCUAUCAGAUGAGCCUAGGUCGGAUUAGCUAGUUGGUGGGGUAAAGGCCUACCAAUGCGACGAUCCGUAACUGGUCUGAGAGGAUGAUCAGUCACACUGGAACUGAGACACGGUCCAGACUCCGACGGGAGGCAGCAGUGGGGAAUAUUGGACUAUGGGCGAAAGCCUGAUCCAGCCAUGCCGCGUGUGUGAAGAAGGUCUUCGGAUUGUAAAGCAAUUUAAGUUGGGAGGAAGGGCAGUAAGUUAAUACCUUGCUGUUUUGACGUUACCAACAGAAUAAGCACCGGCUAACUUCGUG